CUUGAACGCUCGCGGGAUGCUUUACACAUGCAAGUCGAACGAGUGGCGGACGGGUGAGUAAUAUAUCGGAAAGUGCCCAGUAGCGGGGGAUAACUACUCGAAAGAGUGGCUACUACCGCAUACUCUUGGAGCGGCCGAUAUCAGAUUAUCUCGGUGGUGGGGUAAAGGCUCACCAAGGCAACGAUCCGUAGCUGGUUUGAGAGAACGACCAGCCAGACUGGGACUGAGAAACGGCCCAGACUCAUACGGGAGGCAGCAGUGGGGAAUUUUGGACAAUGGGGGAAACCCUGAUCCAGCCAUCCCGCGUGUAUGAGAAGGCCUUCGGGUUGUAAAGUACUUUUGGCAGAGAAGCGGUAUCUGCAGAAUAAGCACCGGCUAACUACGUGCCAGCAGCCGCGGUAAUUC
rnacentral:rRNA from 1 species